UCAUAUGGGGAAGGGCUGAGGCAGCUGUUUGAGUUACUUCAUUAUCCUUCAUCCCUCUGCAAAUAUGCCUUCCCCAUGACAAUCCUGAUUGUCUGACAUGGCGAUUCUCAUGGCAAGAUGUUGUGACCAAGACUGUUGCAAGUAGCCUCAUUUUUCAUCACCACUUACCCUUUUUGUUCUGUCCAUGUUGUUUGUGAGUUGGGCAGGCCUGGUUACUCUGGUUUUAUUUAUUCCUCUGUUAAUACAGUGCAGCCAUGCCAUGGUUUCCCUUUGGCAGGCGGCACUGCAUGACAGGACUCGUGUUUACAACACAUCAAGCUGCGACAAGCACCUCCAAGCUGCCCAUUCCUGUAAGAGCCAGUCACAUUCUCCUUGCAGCCUUCCCCUCCCAACACAUUUAACCCCCCCCAGAAUUACCAGUUAUUGGAAGUUUUUAAACUUUGUAAGAUUCAGGGGCUUCAUUUAGGCAGCAAAGCUGUGUAUUGAAAUAUGAAUUAGUAGCGUGUGUAUCGGCAGGAUAGACCAUCUGCUGUGCUCAGCACCCGGGUUUGAAGCUGGUUGGCUGGCAGGACAGCAUGUGUUUACAGAAAACCCUAACAGUUGUAAAGGAGCCAUUUAGGUUUAUCGUGUCAAUUCCUGUACAACUCCACGAGGAGAGAUUCCUUUCACAAACUUGCAUAAAAUAGACAGAUAGACUAGUUUUGACCUCUCUCAAAACAUUUGACGGUUGAGCUUGUUGCAAGGAUAAAAUAUCUGGAACAGCAGAAAAAAAAAAUAUCUUGUCAUUUCCCCCUCCUAAGCAUUAGACUCCUUGAAUGCAGCAUCCAUUCAUAGCUUAGUCCUUGCUUUAUGAUUUAACUGCCUUUUAUUUUCCUUCUGAGAUGCAAACGCAGGAGCUGUACCUGAUUUUCAUACCGUAUUAUGCGAGUCGUUGUGAAAAAGCUGUCCAGAGUAAUGGCUCCAUUUCAUCAUGAUGCAUAUGCCAAGGUGCUGGAACACAGUUUAAAGAAAAGCAUGACAACGCCUAUGACAGCAGUCUUUCUCAGGCUUCUGAGCAUCGCUCGUGAAUGCCUGUGGAUGGGAUUGAUGCACUUCCCUGCAAGGAGCUGAGUGCUACAGCCACACCACAUCAUCUCACUGCCUAUUUUCAGGCUCUGUGCUGUGCCCUCCUGGGUCAAAGUGAAAAUGGAAGAGGAUGGCAAGCCAAGGCACACAGAAGAUGUCUCACUGGAUUUUGUACGUUUUCAAACAUAACCCUUGCAUUCUUGUCAAUGUAUCAAUACAGCACUGAAAGACCAAAACUGCAGCACACCAAGUGCAAUCCCUGUACACACAACGUACCAAUGGCUUGACAAGUGAUGUCUUUGGUAACUGUGGUCAUUCCCAUUUCCAGACUGGUCAGAAUGGCUUUGGAGUACUGGGCAGCCCAUGACCUGUCUGACUUUGACGAAUGAAAAAGCAGCUCAG